CGCUGAGUGCCUGGUACGUGUAGCGCAGGAUCGUGACUUCUGGAAAUGGUCCAUACCGCUCCAGCAAGGAGGCCACCGAACCACCUGGCACAAAUAGACCAACCAAUCACACUCGAAAACAUGAAGACACAGAAGAAAUAGGGAGGAAACAGGCCGACAACUGCCACCUAUAGGCCUUUGCAUCAAGAAAGAAGGUCCGGUUUGGCAACCAAUUCGUUCCUCCUCACUGGCAUGCGGGCGACGGCUUGGAGCGUGUGUGUUGAGGCUGGACGACCAAGAUUUGGUCAUCAGGAAACUACUGCGCUGUUUUUGGGUGCAGUAACAACUACAGAAAAAGGAAACUGCUGUCAGCAGAAUUGCCAUGUGCAUCACCAGACACAGUUUUUCUGGCUGUGGGCUUUUCAAGUUGCAUCGUUUUCCUGUUGACGAGGAGCAGCAGCUUCUAUGGAUUCCAAACUUAAACAGGAAAAACUUUGUACCUUCCGCAAGUACUCAGGUAUGUUCAGAGCACUUCUUCUCAGACGAACAAACUGCAACGAUUUCGACACCGAUGCUCAACCUUUGCUAUAAACAGAAGGUACGCAGCCAUUCCAACGAUGACAAUACUUCCCCGAUUAACAGCCCCACAUAACAUUUCUUUCUAUCGUCGGCAAAGUACCGCGGCACCGAGAGUCACUCAAAUAUUGCGAUUAAAAAAAGGAGGGAAGCGGAGCGUGCAGGCACGUCAGCGUCGUUUAAUCUACGAGCUAUUCAAAUAGACACCUGUAAAAACAAACGAGCGAGUAAGAUACGGUGACCCCUUCAUAGUUGAGAAACAAUUUAAACAACAGUUAGUGCACAGUUAACAAAAACUGUCAGUGCCAGGAAAUAAAGACAAACCACUACACUCCAAUGCAUGGCUUCAUGCAAUAGCGGUAGUCGAUGCGACGGCAUGACGUAAAAAAAUCUUGUUGAAAAAGCAGAAAACUACAGCUCAAGAAAGAUAUUCACUGUGCUCUCGAAGUGCUGUUGCUCACUCUGGAAAUGAAAGGCCUGAAAAUACUGUGCAUUCUUCGAACAGAAAGUCGGUGCUGUAAAUAUACAUCAACAGAGGGGGACUAGUCCACGGCACUGCAUAAUAAUACAAUUGGCCCUCAACAGCUUGAAUCUUGUCAGAACGUCUCAUACUCUUUUUCUAAAGAACAUGCAUCACUUCAGUUGAAAUUCACCCCGCAAAAAAAAAACAACAAUAAAACGGCAGCCGCAUGCUUCUCUUCUAUGCAAACAGCAAGCUUCCCGCAUGCCAGAUGGGUUGCCAGACCAGAAAAGGCAGGUGGUCGAAAUUUCCGAGCCCUCCACUUCGACGUCUCUUAUAAUCAUACAUGGUGGUUUUGGUACGUUAACAGAAAAGGAUUGCCCGCGAGCGAGAUGGCGGCGCUCAUGAAAAGAAAAACCUCUAUGGGAGCACAACACCUGCCUGCUCCUUCAAGAAGGGGAGACAUAGAAGAAACAAAGGCUGGAGGUAAAAAAAAAGAGAAGAGAGAACAGAAAAGUAAGAAAAGGAAAAAAAUUAUGCAAACACAAAUAGUCGCACGAGAAAUGUCUAUAAAUGCUACGCCAAGUCCGUUACAGGGUUACUCAAGCAGAAACCAGACACCACACACACUACACGUGUAAACUGAACCGGUUCUGCAUUCACUGUAUCUCAAAAGAGCUUGCAAACUUCCAUCUGUAACAGUGCUACAGAUCAGUUUAUUACCCUCCAAAAGCUGCCGCAGGAUGUGUUGAGGGAAGGGCGCACUCACCUGC
rnacentral:lncRNA from 1 species